AUUGAACGCUGGCGGCAGGCCUAACACAUGCAAGUCGAACGAGUGGCGGACGGGUGAGUAAUGUCUGGGAAACUGCCUGAUGGAGGGGGAUAACUACUGUAAACGGUAGCUAAUACCGCAUACCAUCAGAUGUGCCCAGAUGGGAUUGGCUAGUUGGUGGGGUAACGGCUCACCAAGGCGACAAUCCCUAGCUGGUCUGAGAGGAUGACCAGACACACGGGAACUAAGAAACGGUCCAGACGCCUAGGGGAGGAAGAAGUGGGAAAUAUUGCAAAAUGGGCGCAGGCCUGAUGCAGCAAUGCCGCGUGUUUGAAGAAGGCCUUCGGGUGGUAAAGUACUUUCAGCGGGAAGGCGUUACCCGCAGAGAAAGCCCCGGCUAACUCCGUGCCAGCCGCCGCGGUAAUUC
rnacentral:rRNA from 1 species